CCUACGGGACGCAGCAGUAGGGAAUCUUUCACAAUGGGCGAAAGCCUGAUGGAGCAACGCCGCGUGCAGGAUGAAGGCCUUCGGGUUGUAAACUGCUUUUAUAAGCGAGAAAUAUGAUGGUAACUUAUGAAUAAGGAUCGGCUAACUACGUGCCAGCAGCCGCGGUCAUACGUAGGAUCCGAGCAUUAUCCGGAGUGACGGGGUGUAAAGAGUUGCGUAGGUGGCAUAAUAAGUAGCUAGUGAAAUCUGGUGGCUCAACCAUUCAGACUAUUAGCUAAACUGUUAAGCUCGAGACCGUUAGGGGUAACUGGAAUUUCUAGUGUAGGAGUGAAAUCCGUAGAUAUUAGAAGGAACACCAAUAGCGUAGGCAGGUUGCUGGGACGGUUCUGACACUAAGGCACGAAAGCGUAGGGAGCAAACAGGAUUAGAUACCCCAGUAGUC
rnacentral:rRNA from 1 species